rnacentral:lncRNA from 1 species
GUAUUCCUAGCAAUGUUAGUGAAAAAACACAGAAUAAUCUUAAGGCUGUGUAAAGAAAGGAAAUGAAGACUUAAUUUUAACUCACCCAGUAUUGCUUAUUAUCAACUCCUUUCAGGGCUCCUAGAGAGUCAUUUAUUCGGACAAGCAUUGGGGAUCUCCUUGUUCUUCUCAUAUUGUGAAGAGCAAAGGUGUUUUAUAAACGGUAGGAAAAAUCUGGAUGAAGCAGGAUAUAGAUGUAAUAUUUAGUGCUGAAAUUCCCUCCUGAAGAAACCUUUCCUGCUGGGUGUAACAUAUCCUGCUUUAAAAGGUUCUUUGGGUUAAAAUCAGGCAAACUGGUGAUGCCCAAUACUGAGAACCGAUCUAUGAUGGAGCCUUUGGGGAGAGAUGAAUAAAACCUGGAGAAUCAACAAACUGAAAUUCUGCAUUUUUAUAACAAAGAAAAAAGCAGAGGUAACAGAAGCCCCUGGUGUUUCUCUAGGCUCCCUCCCACCCACCAGGCAUCGCCUCUUAUCUUUUUUUUUCCCUGUGUGAUACUGCCGGAUGCUCUACAGUGCUUCCUAU